rnacentral:rRNA from 1 species
GAUGAACGCUGGCGGCGUGCCUAAUACAUGCAAGUCGAGCGAACGGACGAGAAGCUUGCUUCUCUGAUGUUAGCGGCGGACGGGUGAGUAACACGUGGAUAACCUACCUAUAAGACUGGGAUAACUUCGGGAAACCGUAGCUAAUACCGGAUAAUAUUUUGAACCGCAUGGUUCAAAAGUGAAAGACGGUCUUGCUGUCACUUAUAGAUGGAUCCGCGCUGCAUUAGCUAGUUGGUAAGGUAACGGCUUACCAAGGCAACGAUGCAUAGCCGACCUGAGAGGGUGAUCGGCCACACUGGAACUGAGACACGGUCCAGACUCCUACGGGAGGCAGCAGUAUGGAAUCUUCCUCAAUGGUCAAAAGCCUCACGCACCAACGCCCCGUGAGUGAUGAAGGUCUUCGGAUCGUAAAACUCUGUUAUUAGGGAAGAACAUAUGUGUAAGUAACUGUUCACAUCUUAACGGUACCUAAUCAGAAAGCCACGGCUAACUACGUG